rnacentral:siRNA from 1 species
UGUACCAGUGGUAAGCUAC